rnacentral:lncRNA from 1 species
UUAUUUCUUGGAAUAUAAACUUUGGCUGCCGUUAUUCUUGUCUGCUUUCUCCACCUCGAGGCAAUGCGUUGAAGCUUUUCUUGCUGUGGAGACAAAAUACACGUGGAUAUCCACGCUCCUUUGUCUGAGAUAAACAUAAACUCUUAUAAUUCUUCAAUUAUAAAAUAGAAAGUAACGACAACAAAAAAAGAAUUUAAAAGAUCCAGAUGAGAGGAUCAUGAGAACAACUUGCAGCAUACUCUUCAAGAAAUCCACACAUACAAAUCGAUAAUAAUUCUGAUCUCCCUCCUUCGUUCAUCUCUUUGAAAAUGGAAUUCAUGAAAUGACAGGCGACAGAGGAGGGAAAAGAAUCACGAGUGAAGAUGGAGUCAAAAAAGACUAAUGGAAGAUAUGAAUCGCGGAGUGAGUCUUAUUCAGAAGGUUGAAGUGAAAGCUCACGGGUAGAGAAAGGAUGGCAACAAGAUGAUUGUAGUUUACUUGAAGCCCUCAAAUCAAUCACGCAGUUAGUUUCAAUUCAAUUUUUCCUGCUGGGUUUGAUGUUGAGAUUUGACUUGUUUUCCGUGAAAAGAGAGGCAGCGGCUGCGGUUAUGCCUACUUUUCACUAAUCUUGUAGGGACUAAAUUUAAAGUGAAUUUGAACCUUUUUUGUUUGAGCUUACAGAACUUGAAAAAGAACUGUUUUGGGUUGGAAAAUUGUUAAAAAAAAAAUGUUCUGCCAUGUGAGGCCUGUGGAGCUACAGAGGUAGCGGGCAUGCCUAACGCAGGCCAUGAAUACUAGGCGAAGAAAAGAGAGAACUUUACUCAUAAGAUUGAUUCUUUUAAAAGAUAAAUGUUUUUCUUUUUCAACCAUAAUGCUAUUUU